GUAUCUGCUUUUAUUGUGUGUUGAGGUUGACUUGUCCCCCAAAGAUUGCUCUGAACAGCAUACUCAUGGUGUAUUUGAAAACAACAUAUUGUAUAAAGCGACGCAUGUCACUGGAGAUGAGAAAAAUGACGCUCAGGGCCAUCUGAUGGGACCCUCUAAUAUAGAAUGCCGUUUGUGUCUCUUCUGUGAUUAUUUCUAUGUCCCAAUUAUUAGCAGCCAUCAGUGCCUGGGGAUGAUGCAGAGCAAAGCAAAACAAAACAAAGGUCUGUCAGUCUGCAUCUCACGGAUAAGUCUUAGGGGCUGCAGAUGGAUUUAUUGGCUCUCUGUUUCUAAAUCUGUCUAAAAGACCUGAACAAUUUCCUACCUGAAAGAGGCUGAGAGCUGAGCACCUGGAGGCCUUUCAUAAUGACAGUGGCGGGGAAGCACAAUACCGCUGGAGUUAAUUUUUGAUGUGAGCUGUGCUGCUUACUCAGACUCAGACAGACACUCGUCUCCUGCAGCAAGGGGAAAUAAAAUGUUUCCUGAAGAUGCUGUGGUUUAUUUUUGCACAUGCUACUUAUAUAAAGCACAAGACAAAUGAAGAUUUUUAACCCUCAUUUGGGCUCCAUAAAACAAUGUAAAAUCUA